rnacentral:rRNA from 1 species
UACGAAGGGGGCUAGCGUUGUUCGGAAUUACUGGGCGUAAAGGGCGCGUAGGCGGUUUGUCAAGUCAGGCGUGAAAGCCCCGGGCUCAACCUGGGAACUGCGCUUGAGACUGGCAGGCUCGAGUCGGGAGAGGAUGGUGGAAUUCCCAGUGUAGAGGUGAAAUGCGUAGAUAUCAGGAGGAACGACCGGUGGCGCAGGCGGGUCUAGCUGGGCCAUACUGACGGCUAGGAGCGAAAGCUGGGAGGAC